GUGUGUGUGUGUGUGUGUGUGUGUGUGUGUGUGUGUGUGUGUGUGUGUGUGUCUCUCUCUCUCUCUCUCUCUCUCUCUCUCUCUCUCUCUCUCUCUCUCUCUCUCUCUCUCACAGGAAGGGAAGGUGGGCAAGCAUCGUGUCCCCACCCACCCCCGGGCCUGGGCCACACCUGGGCUUACCUUAGGACGACCUGCACGGCCUUGACCCCAGGCUGCAGUUCUCUGUGCGGGGGGAGGAGGGGAGGGUCAAUAGCAGGACAGCGCCCAGCAGCCACCUCUGACCCUUCACUGGGGGGACCAGCCAGACGGACUAACCCACUACUUCCUUCCCAUGGCGACCGAAGGCCAAGGGUACUGCCUAGAGCGUUCUCUCCUGACAUUUACUCACGGCUGGAGACUGAAGGCCUCAGAGAGCAGAGUCAGAGCCCUGGAACCAGCCUGCAUCCCUCAUCUGCUCACCGGGGGCAGCUCUGCCCCCAGGGGACACUGGGGAUGUCUGGGGACAUCUGUGGUGGCCACGACUGGGGUGCUCCUGGCGUCAAGGGGAUGCGGGCAGGGAUGCUGCUCCACACCCCACAGAGAACGUGCCCUGACCCUGAUGUCCGGAGCAGUGAGGAGGGGACCCUGUUAAAGGGGGACGAUUGGCCCACCUUGGGGCUGUGGGUCAAAGGUGGUGAGAAUGCGCGGGCCAUGAGCACGGGGUGGGGGCCACCCUUCCCCGCCACGCUGAGCCCAGGGUCUGCUGCGGGCCUGGCGAAGGCUGCCUUGGGCUGCCACAGAGGCGGGCAGGGGGUGGGCACAGCGCACCUGGAGUUCCGGAUCAGCUCCACCUGUCUGGGCGUCAAGGCAAAGAUGCACGGGCUCUCCUGAAGCUUCUCGUUAUUCUGUGGAACUGGAGACAAAUUUGGGGUCAGGGUCACGUCUGUUCCCUGGCGAGGGCGCCGACCACAGUCAUUCCUACAGGCCUGGCCCUCUUCAGACUGGGAAGUAGGAAAUGGGAAGCUGAGCCCCAGCCAGGUGGGAUGUAUUUGGGGGAUCCUGCCCCUUCCUGGGUAAGGAGAACCAAAGCCCAUGGUUCAGGGAGCAGUCAUGCCCCGCCAUGUCCCCCACUGAGGGCCACUCGGGGAGCAGCAGCCUCUUCAGCCCUCUGGGGCUCAGGCAUCUACUCAAGAGGACCGAGAACUGCUCGGCGGGGGCAGAAGAGCUUUGCUGGGCCAGCAGGAUGCAACACACCAGGCCGCGUGCCCUCGGGCCAGCCACUUUCUCCAGGUCUGUGAGACGCCAGUAACAACUCUGUCCCCAACUCCCAGGGCUGUUCCGGGCAUCUGGUGAGCCAUGUACCCAACCAUGCAGCACUCGGCCCAGGCCCCGCACGUAAUGAGUUCUCAGCACGGCACUGCCAGAGGGAAUGGGGACAAGUUGAACAAGGUCCUGCCUCUGGCACUCACGGGUUGUCCAAGGAGAUAUGGAAGUGAACUGGCAGUGAACCUCCAAGUGCACAAAAUAAGAGUCACAGAGCAGCCUGGCCUGGCUCACAGUGGGAGGUGUGAGGAGGGCAGCAGGGACAGCACACACAGAGCCCUGCUCGCCAUCAUGGAGCACUGGGUGCAGAAGUCGGGAGAGAGUCUGCCGGGGAUGGAGACCUUGGCAGUGAAGAGCUGGCUCUUCACUCUCAGUCAUAACUGUACUGAGAAGCCCAGGCGAGAUCAGAAAGCACUCUGAACUGAACGAGAAAAUACAAUACUCCAAAACUUGUGAGAGGCAGCUAAAGCAGUUGUGAGAGGGAAAGCUAUAGCUUUAAAUGCUUCUAUUAAAAAAGAAUGAAAAGUGUUUGAAAUGAAUGAUGUAUGCUUCCUCCACAAGAAGCUAGAAAAAGAAGCCCAAACUAAAAGCCAAAGCCAUUAGAAGGGAGAAAAUUAAAGAUAAAGAUGGAAGUCAAUGAACCAAAAAGCCAACAACAGAGAAAACCAACAAAGCCAAAGUUCUUUGAUACAUACCUAGCUAGACUGAAUGAUAAGAUCGUGAGAACACAAACUAUCAUGAAUGAAAGGUGGACAUCAGUACAGAUUCUAUAGCCUUCAAUAGGGGGCUGUAACUUCAUGCCAAUGAAUUUGACAAUUUAGAUGAAAUGAACAAACUCUUCCAAAGAUGCCAACUAUGAAAACUGGCACCAAAACAUAUAGAAAGUUUGAAAAGCUUUUUAUCGGUUAAAAAAACUGAACUCAUAAUUAAAAACCUUUCCACAAAGGAAACUGCAGGUCCAGCUUGGUGGAUUCAAUCAGAUGUUUAAGGAAGAAACCAUAUAAACUUUAUAUAAACUCUUCCAGGGAGUCCCCUGGUGGCCUAGUGGUUAGGAUUCUGGGCUUUCACUGCCGGGGCCCAGGUUCAAUCCCCGGUCAGGGAACUGAGAUCUUGCAAGAUGUGCGGCAUGGCCAAAAACAAAUAAAUAAAUAAACUCUUCCAGAAACAAGAGGAGGAAGGACACGUCUCAACUCAUUUCCCCCCCUCCCCCGGUACGCGGGCCUCUCACUGUUGUGGCCUCUCCCGUUGCGGAGCACAGGCUCCGGACGCGCAGGCUCAGUGGCCAUGGCUCACGGGCCAGCCGCUCCACGGCAUGUGGGAUCUUCCCGGACUGGGGCACGAACCCGUGUCCCCUGCAUUGGCAGGCGGACUCUCAACCGCUGCGACACCAGGGAAGCCCCUCAACUCAUUUUAAUGAGGCCAGCAUAACCCUGGUUCCAAAACCUGACAAAAAUGCAUCAAGAAAGGAAAAACACAGCUGAAUAUCCCUCAUGAACGUGGAUGUAAAAAAUCCUUAACAAAAUUUUAGCAAACAGCCAGGGCCCCUGGGAUCUGGCCCUGGAGUGCAAGAUUGGUUGAAAACCUCCACACGUCCACUUAAAGUGGCUAAAAUGACAAGACCAACAAUUCCAAGUGUUGACAAGGACCUGGAGCAACCAGGACUCUCUGCUGGGGGUAGGGGUGGUUGUAACAUGGUACAGACACUUUGGAAAACUGUUGGGCAAUGACUAGUAAAGUUAAACAUACACUUACCCUGUAACCAGCAAUCUGCUGUUAGCUAUUUCCCAAUUAAAUGGGAGUAUGUCUACAAAAAGACCUGUGCAAGAACGCCUGGCUAAUUUAUUCCUGGCAGCUCUAAACUGGAAACAACCCAAGUGCCCCACAACGGAAGAACAAAUGGACAAGCUGUGGUACAUUCAUACAGUAAAGCUUGUAGUCCAUGCAUCGACACGGACGAAUCUGAAGCCCCAAAGCUGAGCCAAAGAAGGCAGACACAGAGAAGUACAUGCUGCGUGUGCAUUAUACCACCCUCCUGAACAGGCAAAACUAAUCUAUGGUGAUAGAACUCAGAAGAGAGGCGGCCUCUGGGGGUCAGGGGAAGGCAAGGACUGCCUGGGAGGGGGGCCCCUCGGGAACUUAACGGUGAUGGAAAUGUUCUGUAUUUGGUGGCAUUGGGGUUACUCGGUCACAUGCAUUCUCUAAAACUCAAGUUACGCACUAAAUAUCUGUGGAUUUCGUUGUAUGUAAACUAUACUUCAAUGUUUAAAAUUUUAAAACUACACUGAGAAGUGAUGAUCAUUCUGUAACGAAUAAAAAUAUCAAGUCAC